rnacentral:rRNA from 1 species
GAUGAACGCUGGCGGCGUGCCUAAUACAUGCAAGUCGAGCGAAUGGAUUAAGAGCUUGCUCUUAUGAAGUUAGCGGCGGACGGGUGAGUAACACGUGGGUAACCUGCCCAUAAGACUGGGAUAACUCCGGGAAACCGGGGCUAAUACCGGAUAGCAUUUUGAACCGCAUGGUUCGAAAUUGAAAGGCGGCCUCGGCUGUCACUUCUGGAUGGACGCGCGUCGCAUUAGCUAGUUGGUGAGGUAACGGCUCACCAAGGCAACGAUGCGUAGCCGACCUGAGAGGGUGAUCGGCCACACUGGGACUGAGACACGGCCCAGACCCCUACGGGAGGCAGCAGUAGGGAAUCUUCCGCAAUGGACGAAAGUCUGACGGAGCAACGCCGCGUGAGUGAUGAAGGCUUUCGGGUCGUAAAACUCUGUUGUUAGGGAAGAACAAGUGCUAGUUGAAUAAGCUGGCACCUUGACGGUACCUAACCAGAAAGCCACGGCUAACUACGUGCCAGCCGCCGCGGUAA